UUGUCAGCUAACCCAUCUAUAGUGUGCCACAAAAUAGUGCCAGAAGUUUGCAAAUGUUUGCCACUAGUGAUGUAUCUAUGGAAAACCUUUGGCAACAAUAAUAUGUAUUGCCACUAGUGGCAAGUUCGCCAGAGGUUUUUUUCUGGCAAACAAUUCCCUCAAGAUUCUAUUUUAAUCUGUGGCAACAAUAUUUAUUGCCACUAGUAGUGACAAACAGAAGUUGUUUUUGGUGAACACAUGAGUUCCAAGACCAGUAACCGUAGAUGACCAGUCAAGGGGAGAAGAAAAAUCUGUUGGAAAAUGGAAACAAAGUUAUCUAGCUACCUACCGAAGUUGUCAAGGCUUCUUUUCAUCACCAUAUUUGGUAGUGAGUGGAAAUGCCAACCGGAUGCUUCACAUUUAUACAUCCGGUGAAAUAUCUAGCUCAUUGUUCUAUCUGUGGCAACAGUAUGAACUGUCUUGACAUCAAAGCAAAAGCACCUAACCAUGGUGUUUGAAGAGGAUGUAUUGGAAGGAGGAUGCAGCAAUAAAUACCCUGGAACGAUGUUUGUGGUGCACUCACUCAUUACACUUUUUUAAGUGAUAAAUCGUCUUCAAGCUUAAGAAGCAAUCAGUUACAAGGGAAAAAAUACAGAUUGAGGCCUUCAAUCAAGCUGAGGACAGAGAAAUAUGUGUGCACCAGUUCAUGCAUUCAACAAACUUUGGACGAAGGACUUCCACAGGUCCGCUGUCUCCAAAGACAAUAGUUCUGAACUGGAUCUGAUUUUGUUUUUUAACAUCCAUUGGUUGAAAGCUCAUUGUUCAGUUAUCACUUGGCUCGUGUAAAUUCUGUAGUUGCCCCUUUAAACCUAAUCCUAAAAUCAAAUCAAAGUUUAUUGGUUGUGUACACAGACUUGCAAAUGUUAUGGCAGGUGCAGCGAAAUAGUUUUGGUUUCUAGCUCCAACACUGCAAUAAUAAAAAUAAUACACACAUAAUCCAUAACAACAACAAAAAAUCAUGUGUUAUAUUGGAUGAGCCAUGACUAGAAUGCAGUAUAUACAUAUAAAGUGGGUGAAACAGUAUGUAAACAUUAACGUGACCAGUGUUCAAUGACUAUGUACAUAGAGCAGCAGUCUCUAAGUUGCAGGGUAGGGUACCGGCUACCGUUAGCCGGCUAGAACAGUGACUAAGGCGCAGGACUGCAUACAAGGCCGGCUAGUGGUGACUGUUUAACAGUCUGAUGGCCUGGAGAUAAAAGCUGCUUUCUCAGUCUCUUGGUCCAAGCAAAGCUGUUUGCACCUGUACUGUCUCCACCUUCUAGCGGGGUGAACAGGCCGUGGCUCGGGUGGCUGAGGUCCUUGAUGAUCUUCUUGGCCUUCCUGUGACACCGGGUGCUGUAGAUGUCCUGGAUGGCAGGCAUUUCUCUCAUGUAAAUGUAGCUACAUAAAAAUAUGAAAUAAACCAUUUAUAUUUAGGGAAAUAUUUAGCAUGCUGAUGAUUUCAAGUUGUAUUGGAUUUAUUUAUUAUUUGUAUCUGUUAAGACAUUGAAUGCAUGUUGUUUAGCAUAUUUAGUACAUUUUGUAUGUUGUCUUUCUUUUUGUAUGUGUCUUUAGUAUGAUACGUUUAGUUUUCUCUGUGAGGAGCAAGUUCAUAUGUGAUUUGGUUUAUGUAGAUAUGACAUUUCAAUGUUGUUAAUACCCAAAGUAACCAAAAAAAACGGAUCUAAUUUGCAUAUUCAUAAUGAGUUUGCAGCAAAUUUAAAGCAAACAGUAGAAUGUUCGCCACACGUUUCCCAGAAUUGUUUGCCAGAAGUUUGCAAAUUUGCAGCAACAGUUUGCCA
rnacentral:lncRNA from 1 species